AACGAACGCUGGCGGCAGGCCUAACACAUGCAAGUCGAGCGCGCCCUUCGGGGUUAGCGGCGGACGGGUGAGUAACGCGUGGGAACGUGCCCUUUUCUACGGAAUAGCCUCGGGAAACUGAGAGUAAUACCGUAUACGCCCUUUGGGGGUAAGAUUUAUCGGAAAAGGAUCGGCCCGCGUUGGAUUAGGUAGUUGGUGGGGUAAUGGCCUACCAAGCCGACGAUCCAUAGCUGGUUUGAGAGGAUGAUCAGCCACACUGGGACUGAGACACGGCCCAGACUCCUACGGGAGGCAGCAGUGGGGAAUCUUAGACAAUGGGGGCAACCCUGAUCUAGCCAUGCCGCGUGAGUGAUGAAGGCCUUAGGGUUGUAAAGCUCUUUCAGCUGGGAAGAUAAUGACGGUACCAGCAGAAGAAGCCCCGGCUAACUCCGUG
rnacentral:rRNA from 1 species